AAUCUGAAAGAAACAGGAUGAGUUUCUGGAUGUGAAUGACCUGUCAAAGUGAAACCAAGACAGGAAAAAAAAAGAUUUACACAGAUCUGUAGCAACCAGCCAGAUAGAACUAGAAGCAGUAAUUAAAAAUUCCCCAACUAAAAAAAGCCCAGGCCAGAUGGAUUCAGUGCAGGAUUCUACCAGCCUUUCAAAGAACACACAGCAGCGUUCCUCAAACUGUAAUGUAAAAUAUGAAAGAGGGAGCAUUUCUAGAGUCUUCAGCCAGGGUGCCCUGCAAAGCCGCCCUUGUGUCCUCUCCCAACAACUUUGACUCAAGUUCCUCGAGACAGGCUGUUGUCUGACAGAGUCUGUCUAGGACCCAGGAGAGCCACCACAGCCAAGGGAAGACAGAGAACCCCGCUGGCUGCAGAAACUCUCAGUCUAGAAGUUCUACAGGACUGAACAUGGUAAUCCCAGGGACAGCCACCACUGAUGGGCUUCACACUCAAAAGACCAGGCAAGAAGCCACAUUUGUGACUGAUGACAUCCAGUGAACCAGAAGGGCAGGGGAAUUAUACAGAACCCUGUGGCUGUAUCCCAGGACAGGGUGUGUAAUGGCUAUUCCUGGUUGUCAACUUGACUAUAUCUGGAAUGGACUACAAUCCAGAAUUGGAAGACACACCUGUGAACCAGAUCUUGAGGCUGGAAGAUACAAGUGUCUGACCUGGAUCUUGGCAUGGAGAUCUUGAGGCAUAGUGGCCAUGAAAAGCUUAGGCCCAGACAAGGUGGUACAUGCCUUUAAUCCCAGGAGACUGUGGCAAGGAGGUCUCUGAGUUCAAGAUCAACCUGGGACAAAGCAAAUCCCAGAUCCGGGCAUUGUCGUGGUAUAUACCUUUAAUCUGGGCCACACUUUCUGCUGGAGGCCUAAACAAGGACAUUGGAAGAAGGAAGAUUCGCUCUUCUUCCCCUGCGUGCACUUACUAGCCAGCACAUCUGUCGGAACCUACUUCUACAGAAGACCAGCUGAAACACCCAGCCUCGUGGAACUGAGCAACUACUGGAUCCUUGGACUUCCCAUUCACAGCUGGCCAUUGUUAGGUUAGUCAGAAUGCAGCAGACUGUGUAAGUCAUCACAAUAAAUUCCGUCAGUAUAGAGAGACAUUCCAUAAAUUCUGUGACUCUGGACAACCUUGACUAAUACAGGGUAGAUGGCUGGAACUCACACAGAAUUUUCUUGUGCUUAAAGCAACCCACAGGCAGCCAGCAGGUGGUCAGCCUUCAGCCUUUGUAUUAAGACCCACCUCCUCACCCACUGUUGCCAGAUGAAUUGAACAACAGGGAAGAUAAUUCCAAUCACAAACCAAUUGCUGUACUCUGACUGAGUCUCCUUGCAUAGAAGAGGCACCAGCAGCCAUGGAGGCCAACUUGGAAUCCUGCUGAAGCCUUAUCUGAGCCACAGUGACCAGCCCUCACCAUGAGCCACCUUAUUCUGUCCCAUCAAGAUGGGACGUGCAGAUGGAGAACUGCAGGUGACAUCAUGCUGUGUCUACAGCUGCUCCAGGGUGGGCAGUUAGGUCUUCCACAACUACUGGUAUGACUCUCUGCCUCAUCCUCCUGCAUCAAGAUGUGAGCUCUCAGCUACUUCCUCAGCUCCCUGCCUGCCUGCUGUCAUGCUCCCUGCCAUGAUGGUUGUGGACUCACCCUCUGAACUGUAAACCCACAAUAAACUAUUCUAUAAGUU
rnacentral:lncRNA from 1 species